GUAGGAGAUUGGCUGCAGAGGUCUGUGGGCCAGUGUAGUCAGCAUGAGCAACAGCUCACAGACAACCUGCUGAAUGAGAGCAUGUACCAGCUGGGCAGUGUAGUUGAUGGACUCUGGCAUCAAGCAGAGAUGGAUCUCGUCCCCAUAGAGAAGGGCUGUUAAGGCGCAAUGGCAAGUUGCUUGAGGCAUAUAGAAUGGUGGCAGUACUCCCAUUGAUACAAGAUAUAGUGAACCAGCAUGGCAACCUUACAGCCAUACACAGGAGCACAAGCAACGUCACAGUGAAGACUCAGCUGGCAGGGGAAGAAGCCUCCAGGAGUGUGUGACAGAGCUGCAGAGUGCCAUCCAGAGGUAGGUAUGGUUCAGCUGCAGUAAUGUAAAACAGAGCCACAAAGAGGUGUGAAAUCAUGCUUUAAAAACUGCUCAGCAUUCUGCAGUAUGAAUAACUGUUAUGCUGU
rnacentral:lncRNA from 1 species